rnacentral:misc_RNA from 1 species
AACGCAUCUUGCGCUCCUUGGCAUUCCGAGGAGCAUGCCUGUUUGAGUGUCAUGAAAAUAUCAAACUACUUUUUUUAUUUUUUUAUUUUUUUUAAAAAAAAUAAAAAUAAAAAUAAAUGUUGGUUUGGAUAUUGGAUGCUUGCUGGUCAAUAGCAUGACUCGGCUCAUCUAAAAUUUAUUAGCUGAUCAGAAUAUCAUGGAUUAUCCACUUGGCGUGAUAAGUAUCACCCGCUGAGGACUUAUCCAGAAAUAAUAGAUUGCUUCUAAUCGUAGAUACUUAUGUGUCUGAUUGAAUCAUUUGACCUCAAAUCAGGUAGGACUACCCGCUGAACUUAA